rnacentral:lncRNA from 1 species
GGAUGAUACGAUUAUUUCUAUUUAAUGGAAGAGCCCCAAAUCGGAAGGGCAUUCAGCCAAAAUAUUGACACGGUAUCAGCGAUACCUCUACAUCCCAUCGUUGAAUCUUUGAUUUUCAAUUUUAUUCUGCCUACAGGGUGGUCGGAGUAGGUGAUUGAAUUUCUUGUUUAGGGUAUUCAAGAUUUCUGGGUGGUCAUGCGUUUGGAAUUUUGGGUUGGCUGAUUUGUGGUCAACAUCUUGGUUGGUGUAGAUCGUCGUCUUCAACGCGGCGGUGGUGGUGCAGAUCGCCAUCUUCAGCACAGCGAUAGUGGUAUUCAAUUGUAGCUUGAGUAGUUUUUUCCCCUCUUCACCGGUGGGUAUCAAUUAAGUGUGGCUAUGUAUGGUAGGUUGUCGGAGUUGGAUCGAGCGUUUAUGUGUGUGCAAUCGGUGUGAUACGACGUCUCAAUUUUCAGGCGUCUGACUUCAUGGUUAUUGUGUGGAUUAGCCUUGGCUGCCCAUUUAAUUGAAUUGGGCUUGGUUUUUUUGGGGCCAUUUAUUUGAAAAGAAUCUAAUUUUGUCGGUUGGAUUUAUUUAGAGUGGUUUUAUUAUUAUUAUUAUUUUUUAUUUUUUUUGCGUCCAAAUUUGUUUGGGCCGCAAAUCUUUUUAUUUUGUGGGUUGAUUAAGUUUGGACUGUUAUAAUUUGUGAUUUUCUUACACUGAGAAACUAAGUCAAUUGAGGCUUUUGUGUUAAGUUCACAUGAAAGAAUUAUUUUAUAU